CUAAGGGUUAACAUACGAGGUGACUGUGUCUCCAUUCCUAUGAAGUAGACCUUGGUGUCACUUUGCCGUCAUAUCUUAUUCCACUUUUAAACAAAAUGUGUGAAAAACUAAUCUUUCUGAAUUCCUUCUAUAAUGGCUGCUCAGUGAUUAGAAGAAUUGUUGCCUCUCUGCACAGUGAUCCUGGGUGUAAAUCUAACUAGGAGCAAUAUUUGUAUGGGGUGUAAAUAAAGCCAGAAUAUAAUAUGUGCAAAAAG